GUAGGUGACCUGCGGAAGGAUCAUUACUGAGUGAGGGCCCUCUGGGUCCAACCUCCCACCCGUGUUUAUUGUACCUUGUUGCUUCGGCAGGCCCGCCUCACGGCCGCCGGGGGGCUUCUGCCCCCGGGCCCGCGCCUGCCGGAGACAAUCUUGAACGCUGUCUGAAGAAUGCAGUCUGAGCGAUUAAGCAAAAUUAGUUAAAACUUUCAACAACGGAUCUCUUGGUUCCGGCAUCGAUGAAGAACGCAGCGAAAUGCGAUAAUUAAUGUGAAUUGCAGAAUUCAGUGAAUCAUCGAGUCUUUGAACGCACAUUGCGCCCCCUGGUAUUCCGGGGGGCAUGCCUGUCCGAGCGUCAUUGCUGCCCUCAAGCACGGCUUGUUUGUUGGGUCUUGUUCCCCCGGGAACAGGCCCGAAAGGCAGUGGCGGCACCGUCCGAUCCUCGAGCGUAUGGGGCUUUGUCACCCGCUCUGUAGGCCCGGCCGGCGCUUGCCGACCCCAAUCAAUCUUUUUCAGGUUGACCUCGGAUCAGGUAGGGAUACCCGCUGAACUUAAGCAUAUCAAUAAGCGGAGGAA
rnacentral:rRNA from 1 species